GGGGAUGUGUGGUCUCGACAGGGCCCGAACCCCGAGGAACGCGAGCCGAGGUGCCGUCAGGCCUCGUUAAUCAGGCGGCAAACUGAAGUAACUGGCAACCGCCAGCCUUCUCUCGCCCUCGCGGCCUAAGGCCGUAAGGUGAGCGUGGAAGCAGCCUCGCCCCCGCGGGCUGUGGAAGCGUCAUGCAGCGGGGGUGCGCUCCAGCCUAGCGUCGCGUAAGUCGGAGCAAAGCCCGCAAGGGGACGUGACUGGUCCUCCCACGGACGGUGCCGAUGCCGGCUCGGGAGGAUGACGACAAACCAUCGGACACGCUCGUAGCUGGUCUUCGGCUGAAGGUUCUGGACGGGGAGUUCGACUCUCCCCCAUCUCCACCA
rnacentral:tmRNA from 1 species